rnacentral:rRNA from 1 species
AUUGAACGCUGGCGGCAGGCCUAACACAUGCAAGUCGAGCGAGCGGCGGACGGGUGAGUAAUGUCUGGGAAACUGCCUGAUGGAGGGGGAUAACUACUGGACACGGUAGCUAAUACCGCAUACCAUCAGAUGUGCCCAGAUGGGAUUAUCUAGUAGGUGGGGUAAUGGCGCACCUAGGCGACGAUCCCUAGCUGGUCUGAGAGGAUGACCAGCCACACUGGAACUGAGACACGGUCCAGACUCCUAAGGGAGGCAGCAGUGGGGAAUAUUGCACAAUGGGCGCAAGCCUGAUGCAGCCAUGCCGCGUGUGUGAAGAAGGCCUUCGGGUUGUAAAGCACUUUCAGCGGGGAGGCGUUACCCGCAGAAGAAGCACCGGCUAACUCCGUGCCAGCAGCCGCGGUAAUUC